rnacentral:tRNA from 1 species
GGAGAGAUGGCAGAGUGGUCGAAUGCGGCGGUCUUGAAAACCGUUGGCCCUUCGGGGCCCGGGGGUUCGAAUCCCUCUCUCUCCGCCA